AUUGAACGCUGGCGGCAUGCUUUACACAUGCAAGUCGAACGGUAACAGGGUGCUUGCACCGCUGACGAGUGGCGAACGGGUGAGUAAUGCGUCGGAACGUGCCGAGUAGUGGGGGAUAACGCAUCGAAAGGUGUGCUAAUACCGCAUACGUACUGAGGUAGAAAGUGGGGGACCUUCGGGCCUCACGCUAUUCGAGCGGCCGACGUCUGAUUAGCUAGUUGGUGAGGUAAAGGCUCACCAAGGCGACGAUCAGUAGCGGGUCUGAGAGGAUGAUCCGCCACACUGGGACUGAGACACGGCCCAGACUCCUACGGGUGGCAGCAGUGGGGAAUUUUGGGCAAUGGGCGCAAGCCUGAUCCAGCCAUGCCGCGUGUCUGAAGAAGGCCUUCGGGUUGUAAAGGACUUUUGUCCGGGAGCAAAUACCCAGUGCUAAUAACGCUGGGGGCUGAGAGUACCGGAAGAAUAAGCACCGGCUAACUACGUGCCAGCAGCCGCGGUAACAC
rnacentral:rRNA from 1 species